rnacentral:piRNA from 1 species
UCUGAUGUUCCUAGAACCUAUUAGAAGC